CACAGAUGGCGCUGUUCUGAGCGAACCCAGCGAGCAUCUCACACACACAGUGAAAACUUUGCCGUUCCCGGUCUCUGCUUUUUGUUCUUUGACAUCUGACAGGUUGCUUUGAGUGUCAGUGUUGUUUAUAAACAAUAUCGAUACGCUCACCUGCUCAGACGGUGUUAGCGAAGACAGUUGAUAUUCUCCAGAUAUCCAGUUGUUCUUCGUUGUCUUCAAGCGUUUUCUCGUCGUCGUGGCUCUCUUGUAACCCAGCAGUUUUUUGACAGGAGUGGCAGUAUCACUGAGCGCUUCGGCAAGACAUAUACCGGAGCGACUGGAGCCUUUUACCUUUACAAGAAGGAUGUCCAGCGAGUGGGAAAGCAACGUUGAGUGGCUGUGUAUCGGUGGCAGUAUCGACUUCGGCAGGACAUAUACCGCAGCUGUUACCUUUGGAAGCUGGUGCGGGCGCAGGUUGAUAGCAAUCGGUGUUGGCAGUGUAUGGUAUCGGAUGAAUCUGCGA